rnacentral:rRNA from 1 species
UACGUAGGGUGCGAGCGUUUGUCCGGAAUUACUGGGCGUAAAGCGUGCGCAGGCGGCCUUGCAAGUCGGGCGUGAAAUCCCACGGCUCAACCGUGGAAGUGCACUCGAAACUGCUUGGCUAGAGUCUUGGAGAGGAAGGCGGAAUGCUUGGUGUAGAGGUGAAAUUCGUAGAUAUCAAGCGGAACACCGGUGGCGAAGGCGGCCUUCUGGGACAAUGACUGACGCUAAAAACACGAA